rnacentral:lncRNA from 1 species
AACUAAUAUUUGUCUUGCAGUGAAACAUUUGUGAAAGCAGCUGGUCCCAGAGGUGAGGUGUUCCAAGCUCCCAUUUUGGAGCCAAGUACGUACGCUGUGGAGUCAGUCAUGACACCCCUUUAUAGAGAACAGACAAUGACUUUUGGAUCUUUUUCAGAGCCUGGUCUGGACAGUUUCUGACUGAUACAAACAAGCUGAGCUGACUGCAGUGAGCAGCUGAAGUUCUGAACGUGCACACACCGUGCUUGUGGUAAGUGUUUAGCAGUGGAUUUUUAUCUUCACCAAAAAAUAAACUCU